ACUUCAAGGGUCCAAUUCGCUCUUGUAAAGCGGGGGUCGACGGUUCGAAUCCGUCAGGGG
rnacentral:tRNA from 1 species